CCAUCCUACACAUAAAUCACUGUUCUCUAUUUUCUGAACACGAGCUGAUGCAGGGCCUAGGAGAGUCCUUGUGUGAAACUGAAUACGAAAUGUACGACGAUACGUGACGUACAAUGCACGCCCAUGAACUCUGCGUGGAUAGGUAGCGACGUAGGUAGUGCUGAGAAGAGAAACUACAAUUUGAGAUCCCACCUGUGGUUACAGAAAAGCAGACAGAGCCCUCGACGAAUUAAAUGUAGAAUACAUCAGAAAUGUGGCAGUACAAAAACGCCCCACAGACGAGGAAAUCCUAAAUCUGUUGUCUGCAUCUAACAAAAAGAACCUACAAGAGGUUCUAGGAGAGACUGGAUUCCUGUGAACGGUUUGUCAGAAUGGAAAAGGCAGAGGGGUCCAACCUGCCACCCAGAGACAAAGAAGCACAGGAAAAAGACCCAUGAAAACAGCCUUUCAAAUUCCCAGACCCUACAAACCAGCCCCUCAGGCAGCCUUGUCCAGCAAACU